UAGUUGUGCUUUAUACACUCG
rnacentral:piRNA from 1 species